CCUCCGGAAGUCCCGCCUCCAUACUUCGCCCGGUCCUGUCCUCCGGGCAGUCCCUCUCAGGUGCGUGAGUGCUGAACUCCGUGUUAUCUGUUAGUGUUAGCACUCGUUUCGAGGGUGGGUGUUCCAACUGGGGCUGUCCUUGCCCGUUGCCAUGGUGGCCAAAGCCCUCGAGAGGCGAGGCCACCGAGCUUCGCCCUCACCUGGUUGAUGUCCAGGCGCUUCCUCAAGCCACGGGGCGGAACAUGGAAAUUGAAAGAAAAAUUUUCAACACAAAAGGUAGUCUUUGGUUUACAUAAGAAAGAUUUCCAAGACUUAUGUCUUACCGUUAGAAAACAGUGAGCAAAAUAAAAGUAUGAGCAAGUAUCUGCCCAUUUACUGGAACCAAGAUAUAGUGGCUGGGACUACUCUGCCAUUUGGGUUAUUGUAGAAGACACUUGCCAGUUACGAGGACUCGGCUAACACCCGUGGGCAGCUGGGAUGAGCCCUAAGCAAAACAAACAUUCCCAGCCCAAGUGGUCUGAUGAGACAGACCAUCCUGCCGUGACAAGUUGCAUCCAGUAACUGAAGAGGAAACAGCCCACUUUUCGUUGUCAGCAGUGAUUUGCAGUAAACAACAGAUAUAAUAGCUGAUUUGUUUUCAGAAAAAAAUAAAAAACCAGGAGAUUGUAACUUAAACAUUUACCUGGGGGCAUCCAGGAGUACAGUGGAAGGGUGGGCGUGCUUCCUGCCAGACUGGUCUCAGGCAUUGGAGGUGUAAACGGAUUGGGCAUUUGGUUCAGAUGUGAACCAAACCAAACUGUACUUGGUAUUCCUGGGUCCAAUGGUCUUGCUCCAAACCUGUGCACAUGAUAGGAUUCACUGCUCCAGCAGGGUACGUGGGGUUGGCUGCUCAGGCCUGUUGGCUGGUGACUUGCAUUACUAUAGUUAGCUGCACUGGGAUAAGCAGGACCUUUUACCCGAGUGUUCUGAGCACUCUCAUUAGGUCUUGGCUGUGCAAAGGGGUCAUGAGAGACCCUUCGUCUCCUCUCCUCCUCUAUAUUAUAAGCCAUGUGCUGAGUGGACUGCUGUUUGGUCUGCUUGUCUAUACGGCUGCCAAAUAAAUGAUAGUUGGCUUCCUCUUGGAGUUUAUGCUGCAGAAUGGGCUCAUACUCUUCUUGUUGGCGUUCCAUGGAGGCAGAAAAAUAGGACUCCUCCACAGGUCCCGUCCCGAGUGGCUGGGAACUAUGCAGCGAGCCGGGCUGUUCUGCAGCAGAGAAGAAAUGAUCAGUGUGAGUUUGGUGAAACAUUAAAAAGUGAAAUAGAAUCCAUGCAUCAUCAUGAAUUUAUCCUUCAAAUUAACGUUCUGAAAACAGGAGAGAAAAGUAAAAGGCACUUAGUGUGUGUUCCUCUUCUUGGGAGUUUUGCAGAUAAUCGGUAAGAGCUCUUGGCUAGCAGGGAAGAGCCUGAGGGAGAUCAGAACAGGCAAGGGGGUGCCAGGGAGGACUAUGGAAGAGGGACCUGGCCUUCAGCAGAGAAAGUGACUGUCAUCUUGGAAUGGUCGAGGGAGGGAGAAUAGCAGUAGCCUAUAUGGGAGUAGGAGCAGUUAUUUUCACAAUUUGAUGGAUGAGGUUUUGGUGAAGUUAAAUAGUUUGUGCCACAGCAGACCGAAGUGGCCUCAGUAUCCUAUACUUUGCUUUCCCUCUGUCAUAAUGAAAAAAGUAUCUCUGCUUGAACUGGAGACCAAACUCUCUGCUUGUGCCCUGAAUCGUGUCAACUCCGACCUCCUCAGGGACUCCAUCCCAACAAAUAAACCUCAUCUUUCUCCUCAACCAUGGCUUUCUUCCCAUCCAACAUGAGGCCUCUUGUGUUCAAGACACUAGGAUUUUGGUGAGCAUACUGCGGUAGAUUGACAACUGAUGGUCACCUUGUAACACCAGCUGAACUGAAUCAGCUUGGCGCUGAGCAUGGCAGGAUUAUUGCCAAGAUAAAAAAAGAGACCUGGAGAGGAACAAUUUGGAGCUGUUGGUUCUUUUGGGGCUGUUGAGUCUCCUGGAGGAGCUUGUCAUCUGGCUUCCCUGAUAUGUACUCGACUAUUAUCAUCGGAGGAGCUCAGGACCUUGUCCCUGAAAGGCACUGUGUUCACUUUGGAGGAGCUUUGGUCCUUACUUUGAGCAUCACUUCCUGGCUCUGGGAGGAAGAUGUGUGAUGUUCAAUCUCCAGAAGCUCGUCACACUGGCUUCCUGAUACUCCGUUGUUCUCAUCACUGAAGGAUCUUAGGACCUUGUUGUCACUGAGGCUGGCUGUGGUACUUUUCGGAUAAGCCCUGGUCCUUAUUUUGAGCGUCACUUCUUGGCUCUAGGACAGAACCUUUAGCCUGCUAGCACAGAUCCUUCACUCCGCUGGCAGACUUUCUGGCUUCUACUGCUGACCUUUGGGCCUUCCCAGCACAGAUCAGUGAAAUAGAUUUGCAUGAGUUCAUUGUCUUUGGCUCCAGGCCUCCAGUUGGACUCGUGGGAGGCACUGUCAUGACCUCUAGGUCUUCAACCCUGGACUCAUGCAGGACACUGCUGUGGGAUCCAGGCCCUCAGCUGGAUUUCUUGGGUCUUAAUGUGUGGACAUAUUUUCUGCAUUUCUUGUGUUUAACUCUUUGGGUAACUAUUACAAAAUAAUUGUGCAAAUUAUGUGUCCUGUAUUGUCUUGUUCUUGUAGUCCCUAACUACAACACACACUAAUAUUGUAAAACUAUGUAACUGGACAUCUAAAUAUACUUGAAGUUCCUUUAAGACAGGUGUUCAAUUUUAUAGUUUGUUCUGUUUCCCAUAUGAUUUUGAGUAGUUUUCUGUUUUUUUUUUUAAGUUUUUUUGAGGCAAGGUCUCUCUUGCUAUGUAAUUCAGGUUGGCCUUGAAUUCACCAUGUAGCCCAGACUACCCUUGAACUUGUGAUCUUCCUGCCUCAGCCUCCCAAGUCCUGAGACUACAGGUAUGCAUCACCCUGCCUGACUCUUGAGUAGUGUUUUAGAGAACAGAAUGAAUGAAUGAGCAAAUAAAGAAAUUUGAACUGUGGA